UUUUAUGAGAGUUUGAUCCUGGCUCAGGACGAACGCUGGCGGCGUGCCUAAUACAUGCAAGUCGAACGCUUCUUUUUCCACCGGAGCUUGCUCCACCGGAAAAAGAAGAGUGGCGAACGGGUGAGUAACACGUGGGUAACCUGCCCAUCAGAAGGGGAUAACACUUGGAAACAGGUGCUAAUACCGUAUAACAAUCAAAACCGCAUGGUUUUGAUUUGAAAGGCGCUUUCGGGUGUCGCUGAUGGAUGGACCCGCGGU
rnacentral:rRNA from 1 species